CGGUGUAGCUCAGUGGUAGAGCAGCUGUUUUGUAAACAGCAGGUCGUGGGUUCAAUUCCUAUCACCG
rnacentral:tRNA from 1 species